rnacentral:tRNA from 2 species
GUAGCUAUAGCUCAACUGGAUAGAGUGCUUGACUACGAAUCAAGAGGUUUGGGGUUCGAGUCCCCAUAGCUACA